UACGUAGGGGGCAAGCGUUGUCCGGAAUCAUUGGGCGUAAAGAGCGUGUAGGCGGCCCGAUAAGUCCGCCGUGAAAGUCCAGGGCUCAACCCUGGAAUGCCGGUGGAAACUGUCGGGCUGGAGUCCGGAAGAGGCGAGUGGAAUUCCUGGUGAUAGCGGUGAAAUGCGCAGAUAUCAGGAGGAACACCAAUGGCGAAGGCAGCUCGCUGGGACGGUACUGACGCUGGAGACGCGAAAGCGUGGGGAGCAACAGG
rnacentral:rRNA from 1 species